rnacentral:rRNA from 1 species
UACGUAGGGCGCAAGCGUUAUCCGGAAUUAUUGGGCGUAAAGGGCUCGUAGGCGGUUUGUCGCGUCGUUCGUGAAAACUUGGGGCUUAACUCCAAGCGUGCGGGCGAUACGGGCAGACUUGAGUACUACAGGGGAGACUGGAAUUCCUGGUGUAGCGGUGAAAUGCGCAGAUAUCAGGAGGAACACCGGUGGCGAAGGCGGGUCUCUGGGUAGUAACUGACGCUGAGGAACGAAAGCGUGGGUAGCGAACAGG